CUCAACCAGUUUGUAUCACUGUGGAGGACUUUUGGUGGAGGAACCAGGCUGGAUGUUGGAAGUGAUACCCGCCCCACCCUGACAGUGCUGCCCCCCUCCAGUGUGGAGCUGCAGCAGCAGCAGGUUACCCUCAUGUGUCUGGCCAACAAGGGCUUCCCCUCAGACUGGACUCUGUCCUGGAAGCUGGACGGCAGCAGCAGCAGCAGCAGCAGCUGGGAGCAGAGCAGGAGCCCCGGGGUGCUGCAGAAUGACGGCCUCUACAGCUGGAGCAGCACCCUGAGGCUCCCUGCAGACCAGUGGAGGAAGGUGGGCUCUGUGACCUGUGAGGCUUCCCAGGGCUCCCAGUCUGCAGUCACAGAGACACUGAGGAGAGACCAGUGUUCCCAGUCCUGAC